rnacentral:rRNA from 1 species
UACGGAGGGUGCAAGCGUUAUCCGGAUUUACUGGGUUUAAAGGGUGCGUAGGUGGGUCUGUAAGUCAGUGGUGAAAUCUCCGAGCUUAACUCGGAAACUGCCAUUGAUACUAUGUUUCUUGAAUCUUCCGGAGGUCAGCGGAAUAUGUCAUGUAGCGGUGAAAUGCUUAGAUAUGACAUAGAACACCAAUUGCGAAGGCAGCUGACUACAGGGGCAUUGACACUGAGGCACGAAAGCGUGGGGAUCAAACAGG